AAUUACGUUUUUAACCUUUUGUUUUAUUCCUUUGUGUCCGUUUAUAUAAGGAUGUUUUGGUCUUUAGUGAGACUGUGUCAGUGAUAUUUUUUCAUUGAUCUCUCUCUUCUCUGUUAUCUCUUUGUCUCCGCUCUCCAUCUUGCUGAAUCUCUCUCUCUCUCUCUCUCUCUCUCUCUCCGUUUAUUCGUCUUCGCAGAAUCUCCAUCAAGUUCUUUAUGCUUCAACACUUAAUUUCUUACUUGUUCCUCUUAUUUCCAGGAGGCUGCUAGAUUUUUGCAAUCAAAAAAUAGAGGUAUUGAUCAGGAGGUCAAAUACAAGUCUCUACCUGCAGGCCCAAGCACUAGCACUCGUUCAGAGACCAAGGAAUCUGAAAAAGCAAAGGUCUCUAUUCUUGAGAAUAUUUACUGGAAGGAAGUUUGUGUACUUUCUGUAGUGUGGAUCGUUGUCCUUGGACUGCAGAUCGCCAAGGCCCAAGCACUAGCACUCGUUCAGAGACCAAAGAAUCUAAAAAAGCAGAGGUCUCUAUUUUUGAGAAUAUUUACUGGAAGGAAGUUGGUGUACUUUCUGCAGUGUGGAUCGUUGUCCUUGGACUGCAGAUCGCCAAGAAUCAUACAACUACUUGUUCGGUGCUGUAUUGGGUACUAAACCUAUUGCAGAUCCCAAUAACCGUUGGAGUGACUUCAUAUGAAUCCGUGAACCUGUACAAAGGGCAGAGAGUGAUCGCAUCAAAGGGAGAAGCAGACACAAAUUAAAUUCAGUUUACAGUUAUUUAAUUAAGGAAUUAUGGAUAUGAAACAAUUCAUAACAAUAAGGUUUUGAGUGCUUGAGAUGUCUUAAAAAAUGUCGUAGUCAGCAUCGUUGAAAAUCUGCGAGUAUUGCGUGGAAGAUUAACCCUUGAUUAAGAAAAUCAGCCUCUAAUAAGUCAGUCCUACAACACAGCAUGUUGAUUAGUUUUUUAAUGGUGCUGAGCUGUGUUUGGGAUUUUGACCCUUUAAUAAUUAUAUGAAAU